CUUUCCUGGAACAGGCCCGCGCUGACGGCGCCUGGUGUGUGCUGUUCGACAUUCCGCUCCUGUUCGAGACGGGGAUGGAGGCCCA
rnacentral:tRNA from 1 species